GUCUACAGCCAUGCUACCCUGAACAAGCCCGAUCCUGUCUGAUCUCAGAAGCUAAGCAGGGUUGGGCCUAGUUAGUACUUGGAUGGGAGACCACCUGGAAGACCAGGUGUUGUAGACG
rnacentral:rRNA from 1 species